rnacentral:rRNA from 1 species
GACGAACGCUGGCGGCGUGCUUAACACAUGCAAGUCGAACGAUGAAGGAAAGAAUUGAAGCUUCGGCAGAAAUUCAUUUCGGAUUAGUGGCAGACGGGUGAGUAACGCGUGAGCAACCUACCUCUUACAAAGGGAUAGCCUCGGGAAACCGGGAUUAAUACCAUAUAACAUUGCGACGAAGCAUUUCGAUGCAAUCAAAGCUACGGCGGUAAGAGAUGGGCUCGCGUCCCAUUAACCAGAUGGUGAGGUAACGGCUCACCAUAGUAACGAUGGGUAACCGGCCUGAGAGGGUGAACGGUCACACUGGAACUGAGACACGGUCCAGACUCCUACGGGAGGCAGCAGUGGGGAAUAUUGCACAAUGGAGGGAACUCUGAUGCAGCGACGCCGCGUGAGUGAUGAAGGAAUUCGUUUCGUAAAACUCUGUUCUAUGGGAAGAAAAGGACUGUACCAUAGGAGAAAGCUCCGGCUAAAUACGUGC